rnacentral:rRNA from 1 species
UACAGAGGGUGCAAGCGUUAAUCGGAAUUACUGGGCGUAAAGCGCACGUAGGCGGCUUGGCAAGUCGGAUGUGCAAUCCCCAGGCUCAACCUGGGAACUGCAUCCGAGACUGGAAGGCUAGAGUACUGGAGAGGGUGGUGGAAUUCCUCGUGUAGCGGUGAAAUGCGUAGAGAUGAGGAGGAACACCAGUGGCGAAGGCGGCCACCUGGACAGUAACUGACGCUGAGGCGCGAAAGCGUGGGUAGCAAACAGG